CAAGUCGAGGGGUAUGAGAGAGCUUGCUUUCUAGAGACCGGCGGAUGGGUGAGUAACGCGUAUGCAACCUACCUUUUACAGGGGAAUAGCCCGGAGAAAUUCGGAUUAAUGCUCCAUGGUUUAUAUGAGUGGCAUCAUUUAUAUAAUAAAGAUUUAUCGGUAAAAGAUGGGCAUGCGUAUCAUUAGCUAGUUGGUGUGGUAACGGCAUACCAAGGCUACGAUGAUUAGGGGUCCUGAGAGGGAGAUCCCCCACACUGGUACUGAGACACGGACCAGACUCCUACGGGAGGCAGCAGUGAGGAAUAUUGGUCAAUGGAGGCAACUCUGAACCAGCCAUGCCGCGUGCAGGAUGACGGUCCUAUGGAUUGUAAACUGCUUUUGUACGGGAAGAAAUGUAUCUACGUGUAGGUAUUUGACGGUACCGUAAGAAUAAGGAUCGGCUAACUCCGUGCCAGCAGCCGCGGUAAUACGGAGGAUCCGAGCGUUAUCCGGAAUUAUUGGGUUUAAAGGGUUCGUAGGCGGUUGAGUAAGUCAGUGGUGAAAUCUUAUAGCUUAACUAUAAAAUUGCCGUUGAUACUGCUUGACUUGAAUAGUAUGGAAGUAAUUAGAAUAUGUAGUGUAGCGGUGAAAUGCUUAGAUAUUACAUGGAAUACCAAUUGCGAAGGCAGAUUACUACGUACUUAUUGACGCUGAUGAACGAAAGCGUGGGUAGCGAACAGGAUUAGAUACCCUGGUAGUCCACGCCGUAAACGAUGGAUACUAGCUGUUCGGUUUUCGGACUGAGUGGCUAAGCGAAAGUGAUAAGUAUCCCACCUGGGGAGUACGUUCGCAAGAAUGAAACUCAAAGGAAUUGACGGGGGCCCGCACAAGCGGUGGAGCAUGUGGUUUAAUUCGAUGAUACGCGAGGAACCUUACCAAGGCUUAAAUGUAGAUUGACAGGUUUAGAGAUAGACUUUUCUUCGGACAAUUUACAAGGUGCUGCAUGGUUGUCGUCAGCUCGUGCCGUGAGGUGUCAGGUUAAGUCCUAUAACGAGCGCAACCCCUAUUGUUAGUUGCCAGCGGGUCAAGCCGGGAACUCUAACAAGACUGCCGGUGCAAACCGUGAGGAAAGU
rnacentral:rRNA from 1 species